GCGGAGGCGGGGUGGGCGCCACUGCCGCCCCAGGGUCACGCGUGGGGCGGGCGCCGCGGCUCGGGGGAGCCCCGCCGCCCCCUCACCCGAGGGUCCGGCAGCGGGAGGCAUGGAGCCCCGUCCCGAGAGCCCGCAGGACACCCCGAGCACGGCGGACACUGCUGCCGAGUUCCUGAGCCUCAUCGGGCUGAAGGAGCUGGAGUGGUGCCUGUUUGCUGAGACGCUGGCAGUGGUGACUCCACCGAGGGACAAGGCAGAGGGCCAGUGGUGGAUGGCAGCCCAGUGGGCACCCUACCAGCGGGAAGGUGAGCCGGUGCAGAGCUGCAUCCUGGUGCAAACCAGGUUCCGAGGCAAGCAGGAUGGUGUUCCUGCCUCCAGCACCCUCAAAGCCUACGUGACCUGGCAGCUGGAGACCCUGGAGCAGGAGGAGCAGGAGUGCCUGGAGGUGAUUGAUAUGGUGGUGGCACGUCCCCGUCCCUGUGUCCUACCCGCUGCCCU
rnacentral:lncRNA from 1 species